GUAGAUUAGCCUUCUUCAUCAUAAUCUUCCUCUUCCUCAUCUAUUCUUGUGCCAAACUGUGCAAGCUGAAGAGGGUCAAUGGCCAUCUUGUCCAUUUCAGAGAGAGACCAACCUGGAUAUUCUUCAUGAUUAGUUUCAGUAGUAGGCACUGAAGAUGAGUUAUCAACCACUGUUGUUGCUGCCGUUAUUGUUGUUGCUGUUGCUGUUGCUGCUGCUACUGCCGCAGCUGCUGCUGCAGCCUUUGUGUCCUCAUUCUCAUUCAC
rnacentral:misc_RNA from 1 species